GAAGUUUGCGAGCCUAGGGCUCUGGUUCUGGUGUCUGCUUCGUGGCUGUGUGAUCUUGGGCAAGUUUCCUAAAUGCCCUGCUUCUCAGUUUUGUCAUCCAUAAAAUGAUAACAACAGUACCUGCCUCAAAUAGUGUGUGGAAGAGGCUUAAACAAGCUAAUGUAAGUCAAAUCUUGAGCACAAUCCCUGGUGUAGCUAUACAUGUUUGUGUAUAUAUCAGAAGCUCGAAAUUAUACCAUUAGUAUUAAUAACAUACUCUGGACCCUCAUUAUGAUGCUAUUCUCAAUAUCCCAACACUUGAUUUGUAUUGACAACUCCUAGGCUCAACUGUUCUUCCCACCUCAGCCUCCCGAGUAGCUGGGAAUACAGCCACCACACCUGGCUAAUUUUUAAUUUUUUUUUUUGUAGAGACAGGGUCUUGCUAUGUUGCCCAGGCUGGUCUCAAACUCCUGGCCUCAAGAAAUCCUCCCACCUGGGCCUCCCCAAGUGCUAGGAUUUACAGGCAUGAGCCACCAUGCCCAGCUCCCUUCCUCCCCUCUGCUCUCCUAACUCCAUCUCAGCAUCUGCCCCUGAGGACAAAUGCAACAGGGCAAUCAGUACAUCCAUGAACUUCCCAUCAGUCCUGUGGUGGACUAACCCAGGGACAAUGGUCACUGUCCCCUCUGGUGCAUUCUUUGUCCCCAUCAGCCUAGUAAGCUCCGGGGCUGGCAGCUGGCACAGAGUAGGAGGCUGCACUCCCUGACCUUUCUAUGCUGCACACAGUCCUGUGUCCAUCCUGUCCUCAGACCUGCCAGGGCCAUGACCAACCUGCCAAGAGUGUGGGAAUUGGUAUGUGACCCAGCUCUAGGAGGAGGUGGAGCAAGCAAAUAUAGGGGAAGCUGCUCCCCCAGUAGGUUUAGAGGGAGACUGGGGUGGGGGCGCAGCAGGGCCAGGCGGGUUAGGGUGUGUGGGUGACGGUGUGCAGGUGAGGGUGUGCGGGUGGGGGUGUGUGGGUGGGGGUUUGUGGGUGAGGGUAUGAGUGCCUGUCUGGCUCUCCUGGGUGGGGCUGGAUGAAUGUUUGGGCACAGGCGGCAGCUGUCACGUGGCCUGGCUGUGGGUUUGAGACAGAAGCCAGGCAGGUGGGCUGUGUCAGGCACAGCUACAAACUGUGCCAAGGAAGCGGACCAGAGCAGGGGCCCAGGGAAACCUCUGCCUUAGCAGAAGAUACUGGGGAGACAGGAUCAAUCGGGGAGGUCUUCCAAGGCACAUGGUGCUUCAUGGAGCCAGGGCCCAGGACAGGGAGGGCUGUAACCCUGGCUUGCCUGAUUGGCUGAGCACAGACAGAAGAGGGUGUGGGCAGCCCGCCAGGUGGAUGCCUAAGUGAGGAAGGAAUGGGUGGCCAGGUGACUGAGACCGCCAAGACCAGGACCCCACUGUCAGGCCUGUGGCUUCCAAACGCCUGUGGGAAGUGUUCCCCUUUGGACACUGAGGCCAUCGGCUUCAGCUUCACACCCUUUUCCAGACAAAGACCCUCAGGUAACCUCAAGAGUCACUUCUGGCCUUCCCCAGAGGGGAAAGGAGAGGGGUGCCUGUGGGCAGGUGACCCUCAGUGCUGGUGGAGGGCACAGCAGAGAGACUGCCUGCAUAUGGGAGGCCCCCAGCAGACCUUGCCCAGACGUCAGCCCUGGUUUGAGGCAAACUGUAAAAUUAUCACAAUUUAGGCCAGGUGCAGUGGCCUAUGCCUGUAAUCCCAGCACUUUGGAAAGCCAUGGCAGAAGGACUGUCUGAGCCUGCAGUGAGCUAUGACUACACUCCUGCACUUCAACCUGGUCAACAGAGGAAGACACUGUAUCUAAAAUAAAUAGGCUUGGCAUGGUGGCUCACACCUGUAACCCCAACACUUUGGGAGGCCGAGGCAGGUGGAUCACCUGAGGUAAGGAGUUCGAGACCGGCAUGACCAAUAUGGUGAAACCUCAUCUCUACUAAAAACACAAAAGUUAGCCGGUCGUGGUGGACCGUGCCUGUAAUCCCAGCUACUCAGGAGGCUGAGGCAGGAGAAAUCGUUUGAACCCAGGAGGCAGAGGUUGCAGUGAGCCAAGGUCGCGCCACUACACUCCAGCCUGGGCGACAGAGUGAGACUCCACCUCAAGAAAAUAAAUAAGAUGGGAAAGCUAUGUUCUUAACAUUUUUCAAAUGAUAAUUCAUACUAAAGAAUGUUACCAAUACUAAUGCACAAAGCAUUUUAUAAGUUUUAGACUAUUAAUAAAAAGACACGAAAACUGAGGUAUUUGUAAUCAUGCUUAAUAUUGGAAGUUCCUAUACCUGCAAUGUAGCAACUAAUUAUACAAAAAUUUAAUAAAUGACAAAAUAAAAUUUUGCAAACAGAUUUGUAAUAACCAGAAAGAAAUCUGUAUUGGCAAUUAAUGUAACAUAAUUAAAAAUAAUUUGUUAUGGUCACCUGCUAAAUGCUAAUUAAUGUAAAAUGUUAAAAGAUUAUUUCAAUUAUGACAUCUUAAUUUUUAAUGGCUUGAAAUAUUAUAAAUAUAAAAAACAGGUUUCUAAAUUUAAAAGAAGAAUGACUAAAUUUUUCAGAAAUAUUUCAUAUUUCUUGUCAUACAAUAUAAGAACACCAUUCCAUGUUUCCUUUUACAUUAGGAACCUUCCCUCAUCUCACUGAAAGGAGAAUGCUGGAAGGUGCUAGUAAGAUGACAGUCCGUCUAAGGACUCCAGAACUGAAGGAACUGUUUUGUGGCAAUGCAUGUCACUUCCCUAACUCAACUGGAAAAGGAGACAAAAACCUAGUGUUUUCAACCCUCAAGCUAGCAAGAAAACACAGCCCAGGGUGCCUGAGGGGCAUGUAGCAAAAGUGAUCCCAACCACACCACGCAAACUAGCCAAGAAACCUUUUUGCCUUCACACAUCUGAGAGUCCCUGAGAAGCCGGAGACAACACAGAGGCAGCAAAACACCAACAGGAGAGUCCCAGCAUCAGUUCCUGGCCACAGAAACCCUCCUGAGCAGCAGGCAGAACAGAAUCCACUACAGCAAUCAGCCUGCCAGAGAAGCCUCUGCCCCUGUGGCCUGAGGUUCCACUUUCCCCAGACUUGCUGCUGCCGCCACCAUUAGCGCCGACGCCAACGGAACCAGCGCUGCUGUCACCCUCCAUGCAUCUACUCACCCUCC